GACGAACGCUGGCGGCGUGCCUAAUACAUGCAAGUAGAACGCACAGUUUAUACCGUAGCUUGCUACACCAUAAACUGUGAGUUGCGUACGGGUGAGUAACCCGUAGGUAACCUGCCUGGUAGCGGGGGAUAACUAUUGGAAACGCUAGCUAAUACCGCCUACUAUUUAUUAUUGCAUGAUAAUUGAUUGAAAGUUUCUAUUGCAUCACUACCUUACGGAUCUGCGUUGUAUUAGUUAGUAGGUGAGGUAAUGGCUUACCUAGGCGACGAUACAUAGCAGGCCUGAGUGGGUGAGCGGACAGACUGGGACUGAGACACGGCCCAGACUCCCACGGGAAGGAGCAGAAGGCAAUCGUGGGGAAUGGAAGGGAAACUGACCAAGCUACGCCGCAGCAGUAAGGAAGAGUGUCGGAUCGGAAAGCUCUGUUGUAAGAGAAGAAGGGGUGUGAGAGUGGAAAGAACACACUGUGACGGUAACUGACCAGAAAGGUACGGCUAACUACGUG
rnacentral:rRNA from 1 species